rnacentral:rRNA from 1 species
GACGAACGCUGGCGGCGGGCUUAACACAUGCAAGUCGAGCGGAAAGGCCCCGCUUGGGGGUGGUCGCGGGGGGGGCGGGGGGGGAAAAGGUGAGUAACCUGCCCGUGACUGUGGGAUAACUUCAGGAAACGGGGGCUAAUACCGCAUAGGAGCUGCUGCUGCAUGGUGGGGGUUUUAGGGUUUCGGCGGUUGGGGUUGGACUGGCGGCUUAUCAGCUGGUUGGUGGGGUAGUGGCUCACCAGGGCAUUGACGGGUAGUGGGCCUGAGAGGGUGACCGGCCACAUUGGGACUGAGAGACGGCCCAGACUGCUACGGGAGGCAGCAGUGGGGAAUAUUGCACAAUGGGCGGAAGCCUGAUGCAGCAACGCCGCGUGCGGGAUGAAGGCCUUCGGGUUGUAAACCGCUUUAGCCUGUGACGAAGCGUGAGUGACGUUAAUGGGUAAAGAAGCACCGGCUAACUACGUG